rnacentral:lncRNA from 1 species
ACCUGACUGAUGUGGCUGAUAUCUGCUGAUAUGUACAUAAACACACAUUAAUGAAAUUUAAAUGUCUGUAUGUUUGACCAUUUUGUUUCUCUCUCUUACAGUUUCACUUCAGGGUGAGGGUGUGACUGGAAGAUCUGAAUUCAUGUCAUUUUCUCACAGUGAUCAAUAAAAGAUAAAAAUAGAUGACCAUCUCUCCAUGUUACCAGUGAAUAUUCAGUCUCUUCACAGCACUUGUUCAGUGUGUCAGGAUGAAGACGAGAGAGGGGAACUAUGAGCAAGAUCAAUCUGGAUUGAGCCCAGAUAUUACAACCAAAACCUUCAAUGCAGGUGUCUAUAUCCAUCUAUUCUCUUCAGUAGAGAGUCAGACUGAGGAUGUUGUUGGGAAUUCUGUGCUUUUGUCCUGUUUUUACAGUGACAAUAAAAUAAAGUCAAGACAUGACAGUGUAUUGAGACACAAUGAGUGGGAAUAUAUAAGACAUUAUUCAGAAAAAUGAUUCACUUGAUCCAGAAUACAAUUUUUUUUUUUUCCUAGAAGAAUUUAGAAAGAGAAACUUCAGCCGCAUACUCACGUAAGUUUGAGUAUUUUACCUCAUUUGAUUAACUGCUGUUCAUUUCACUUAAUAGGAUCAAAUGGCACAUCAGAUGUAAGGAAAAGACCAGCUUAUUUUUAUUAUUAUAUAUCCAAAUUAAUUAUUGUUCAGUGAACUUUUUCACAGUAUUUUGUAGUCUAACAAAUGAAAGAAAAAAAAACUUUUGUCAUUUCUUUUAUUGAUGAACUAAAGACAGAUAAUUCAAGACAACUGAGAUCAGAAACAUGUUUAUUAUUACUAAUGAUGAAAAUUCAGCAGAAGAUCAAGAGUCAGGUGAAAAUUAUGUAAUAGUCGAUUUGUGUCUUAAGAAUCUUGAACAUAAAGGAACGAAUAUCUAGAGUGCAGUUCUUUUAUUCUGUUUUUAAUUAAUUAAUUUAUUAAUAGAACAAAUGAGUCUUACAACAUGUUUCUACAGACAUACAGGGAGGGAUUACUUUAAAAAGAGACACAUUAAUAAACCAAAUAGAAUGUAGAAGAAAAUAAAUAAAUAAAAAAGAAAGAAAAAUAAAGAAAAUAACUAUUAACAACAAUCAUUUCUUCCUUUUUCUAGCAACAGAUUCAAGAUCUUUUAACUUUAUAUAUAUAUAUAUAUAUAUGUGUGUGUGUGUGUGUGUGUGUGUGUGUGUGUGUGUGUGUGUGUGUGUGUGUAGAUGUGUAUAAGAGACAGGGUCUCAUAAGUUGCUUGAAGGCUUAAAAAAUGACCUUAAACUGAUAUGAAUUUUCAAGCACAAAGGGAAAGCAACUAUAGUGAAGCAUUAAUCAUUGGCUUGGCUUUUCAGAAAUGUUUAGUUUGCAUAACAUCACAUUUGCAGUGCAUUUAGAUUCUUAAAACAAUGUUUAUGUUUGUAACAUUGCCUAAAUAUCGUUAUAACAACAGCACCAUAUAAACUACUUACCUGGUCAUAUAAAAUUUUUGUGAAUAUUCAUCUUUAUUUCAAUAUUUAUUUUAGUUUUAGGAGUGUUAGAUGUUUUGAUGUUGUUAGCAACUUUCACACUGAUAAGACAAUCGAUUUAUAUUGAACAUGUUUUAUUUGUAAGAGCUGUUAACUAUAUUUUAAAUGUACUACAAUGUUCUCAGGUAUAUACAUUGAAAAUGAGGACCAUUGCGUUUCACAGUAUGUAGACAAGCUCUUUCUGUUCAAGACCCAAUAAAUCAUGUAAAUAAAAUCGAAUCUGUCAAAGUUGUUUGG